rnacentral:rRNA from 1 species
GAUGAACGCUGGCGGCGUGCCUAAUACAUGCAAGUCGAGCGAACAGAUGAGUAGCUGGCUCCUUUGACGUUUGCGGCAGACGGGUGAGUAACACGUGGGUAACCUACCUAUAAGACUGGGAUAACUUCGGGAAACCGGUGCUAAUACCGGAUAACUUUUGGAACCGCAUGGUUCUAAAGGGAAAGAUGGCUUUGCUAUCACUUAUAGAUGGACCCGCUCCGUAUUAGCUAGUUGGUAAGGUAACGGCUUACCAAGGCGACGAUACGUAGCCGACCUGAGAGGGUGACCGGCCACACUGGAACUGAGACACGGUCCAGACUCCUACGGGAGGCAGCAGUAGGGAAUCUUCCGCAAUGGGCGAAAGCCUGACGGAGCAACGCCGCGUGAGUGAUGAAGGGCUUCGGCUCGUAAAACUCUGUUAUUAGGGAAGAACAAAUGUGUACGUAACUGUGCACGUCUUGACGGUACCUAAUCAGAAAGCCACGGCUAACUACGUG